GGAUUAGCGCAGCUGGUAGCGCAUCUGAUUUACAUUCAGGAGGUCGUGGGUUCGAGUCCCUCAUCC
rnacentral:tRNA from 1 species